rnacentral:rRNA from 1 species
UAACGAAUCUUCCGCAAUGGGCGAAAGCCUGACGGAGCAAUGCCGCGUGUGGGAUGAAGCGUCUAUGACGUGUAAACCACUGUCAGGGAAUAGAAACAAUGAUCGUUCCCAAAGGAAGUGGCGACUAACUCUGUGCCAGCAGUCGCGGUAAGUACAGAGGCCACAAGCGUUAGUCGGAAUCACUGGGCUUAAAGGGUGCGUAGGUGGCCCACCAAGUGUCUUGUGAAAUACCUUAGCUCAACUAAGGAAC